rnacentral:rRNA from 1 species
CACGAACCGUACGAACGUUAUUCGGAAUUACUGGGCUUAAAGGGUGCGUAGGCGGCCCGGAAAGUUGGGUGUGAAAGCCCUCAGCUUAACUGAGGAAUUGCGCCCAAAACUACCGGGCUUGAGGGAGACAGAGGUGAGUGGAACUUAGGGUGGAGCGGUGAAAUGCGUUGAUAUCCUAAGGAACACCAGUGGCGAAAGCGACUCACUGGGUCUCUUCUGACGCUGAGGCACGAAAGCUAGGGGAGCGAAC